rnacentral:rRNA from 1 species
GACGAACGCUGGCGGCGUGCUUAACACAUGCAAGUCGAACGGAAAGGCCCUGCUUUUGUGGGGUGCUCGAGUGGCGAACGGGUGAGUAACACGUGAGUAACCUGCCCUUGACUUUGGGAUAACUUCAGGAAACUGGGGCUAAUACCGGAUAGGAGCUCCUGCUGCAUGGUGGGGGUUGGAAAGUGUCGGCGGUUGGGGAUGGACUCGCGGCUUAUCAGCUUGUUGGUGGGGUAGUGGCUUACCAAGGCUUUGACGGGUAGCCGGCCUGAGAGGGGGACCGGCGACAAUGGGACUAAGAGACGGACCAGACUCCAACGGGACGCAGAAGUGGGGAAUAUUGCGCAGUGAGCGGGAGCCUAAUGCAGCGACGCCGCGUGCGGGAAGACGGCCUUCGGGGUGUGAACCGCUUUCGCCUGUGACGAAGCGUGAGUGACGGUAAUGGGUAAAGAAGCACCGGCUAACUACGUG